AGAUUUAGGUGCGUAUUAAGAAGCGACGCUCUCCGAAGCAUUUGCCGUAAAACGCCCACGGAUCCAUGUUCUGGUUGCGCAUCUCAAUUGCAAGACGCGAGGUCUAGCCGCGUUGAACUUGACCUUUCUUCCGGAUUAUGCACUUGGGAAGCUUUUGUCGCCAGGUUUGCGCGUAUGCCUGCGCGGAGGAGGCAAUCCAGCCCGGCAGCACGUCUGGCGCGCCGCGGGACUAGCGCCGGCGGUCUGCCCUUUGCUGCUGCACAGUUUGUGUGGCUCUGCCUCGGUUUUGCGUCCGGGGAUCGGCACGGUACCAUUAUGUGGAUGUACCGACCAUCGUGAAAUUCUAAUGUGUGCUACCUUUGGACAUGUGGAAGGAGUGGUCCUUGAUGCUUCGUCGACAUUGAAUAACGUACCAUGCGCUUCAA
rnacentral:lncRNA from 1 species